rnacentral:rRNA from 1 species
UACGUAGGGUGCGAGCGUUAAUCGGAAUUACUGGGCGUAAAGCGUGCGCAGGCGGUUUUCCAAGACAGAUGUGAAAAUCCCCGGGCUCAACCUGGGAAUGGCAGUGGAUACUGGACGGCUAGAAUGCGGUAGAGGGUAGUGGAAUUCCCGGUGUAGCAGUGAAAUGCGUAGAUAUGGGGAGGAACACCGGUGGCGAAGGCGGCCACCUGGACGGUAACUGACGCUGAGACGCGAAAGCGUGGGGAGCAAACAGG